CGCCUCUAAGUCAGAAUCCAUGCCAG
rnacentral:ncRNA from 2 species